rnacentral:rRNA from 1 species
GAAGCGAGUGGCGAACGGCUGAGUAACACGUGGAGAACCUGCCCCCUCCCCCGGGAUAGCCGCCCGAAAGGACGGGUAAUACCGGAUACCCCGGGGUGCCGCAUGGCACCCCGGCUAAAGCCCCGACGGGAGGGGAUGGCUCCGCGGCCCAUCAGGUAGACGGCGGGGUGACGGCCCACCGUGCCGACAACGGGUAGCCGGGUUGAGAGACCGACCGGCCAGAUUGGGACUGAGACACGGCCCAGACUCC